UCCCAAGAGCCCGUCACGAGGCCCAGUCAUUUCCUCAUUGCGCAGAAGGGGAAGCUGAGGCUCAGGGCCUCCCCUGCAGUCGCCAGCUAGAGAGAGGCUGAGCAUCGCCCAGGACCCCUGUCUCUCCGGCCCGGGGUCAUUCUGCCCAGUGUCCCACAUUGCAACCUCCUGGAGCUCAGGGCUCCUGUCUCUCCUGGGGCCUGCCCCAUUCUGGCCUCCAGCCCUCACUGAACUCGAGGCCCAGGGCCAUCCCGUUUGCCUGGGGCUGGGGUGGUGACCAGGUUGGCCAGCCACAGACACUGUGGGCUCUCCGAGGACCAGGACCAGCCUAUCCCCCCACAGGAUGAGGUCUCUCUGGGCACCAGCACCAAAGAUUGUCAGGACUUUAGGGAUAAGAGGUCGUUCCUGGUCAGGGGGGCCAUGGGGCCUAACAGGCACUGGCUUCCAGUCCUGGCUCUGCUCCUCUGUUGGGCACAGAGGGACCCAGUCUCUUUAAGCCUCGCUUUCCUCAUCAGUGAAUUGAAGGCCAGAAUCCCUCAUGCCCCACUGGGCUGCCAGGAGGAUUCGGAGAGACAGCUCAUGUGGCGAACAGAGGUGUGGUCCGAGCUCAUGCCCAGGAGCCGAUCCUGCUGACGUCACCCCCAGGAGAGCCCCUGAGGCCCUUGGCCUCUGCCCACUCUGUUCUCCCACCAGGCAUGCCCAACUCGCUCUGACUCCUUUGUUCCUCUGGAAUAACUUUCUCCACCCCAUCCGGUGCCAUGACGGUCUGCCAGUCCGGGUGGGAUCCAGGCCCCCGGCCCAGUUCUCCUCCUGGGAUUCCUCAUCAUGGGAGUUAGUAGCUGUGGAGCUCUUCAAAGGAGCAGCCACUCCAAGUGCAGCCUCCGUGAACUUGUCUCACACCACCACGGCAGGUCGGCUGCCAGCCCAGUGGACAGGGGAGGAAAGCGAGGCUCGAAUGGCAGUCCCUUUUCAAGGCUCACAGCAGAGAAGGAGACCUCGAAGGUCAGAGAGUGACCGACAGCGGAACACCGUGUUGACAUCAUGCACCAGAAUCUCCCCCUCUGGGGAUAUGUCCUCCAGGAUCAGAGAUUGAGGGUCCGCCCCUGAAGAAAUCAGAUCCAGAGGAGCACACGCCCUGCAGGCCUCCGCACUCAGCACCCACAGGAUGCACGCACUCUCAUGCACACACCGGCAUAUCCAUGUGCACACACGCAGCACAGGUGUGAAC
rnacentral:lncRNA from 1 species